UAGGACUCCCCACUAACCAAAUGCAAGCAAGCAGGAGGGCAAAGGAGGAAGAAGUACAUCUGACUGGUCAGCCUUCCAGGGUUCAAAGCCCCCCAAGGCCAGGCCACUGCAAAUGGCCCAAGCUGAGAAGCGGCACAGCCACAGCUGGCGGGGGCGGAGAGCCUGGCGCUGAGCCUGCAUGGGACUGGGGCGGACUGAGGGGCGCGACAGGAGCCGGCCAAGCCCCUCAGCCGCUUUCUCUCCACCUGGGCGCUGGAAUCAUUGAGCCCUGUCACUCUGCUGAAAUGACAGAGGUGUCCUCCGAGCUCGGUGACGCUCAGUAGACCAAGAACGAAACCGUCAUUCCGGAAACACAGCUCCUAAUACAUUUCUCUGCACCCAGGGACCCUCACAUUAGCUCGUAGAUGCCAUUUCUGUCCCUGGAGGUUGAAGGAGUUUGUGUGGACUUUAACCAGUUCCCAGGAGGCGGAAAGAAAACGGGUCAAGCAACAUCCAUUUUGCAGAUUGGGGAGCUAAUGUACAGAGCAACCCUUCACAGGGCACUGGGGACGGGUCCAGAUCCCAUUUCAUAUGGCACAGGUCUCUAAGCUGUCCUCAAGAGAAAGCUACUUGCUUUAAGAAUCUUGGGGGGGUGGGGU
rnacentral:lncRNA from 10 species